rnacentral:lncRNA from 1 species
AUGUAAAAUUGUUUUAAUCGCCCACUGCCUCGCUAAAAGGAACCUAAUGGAUCGCACACCAUAAAAGGUAGAGAUUGAAGAUUAAACGGAAAUGAGUAAGAAUGAUUAAAUGGUUUAAUCAUUUAUUUAUGGCAAGGAUUAAUUAAUAUGUUAAUUAAUCAAACAAAUUAGUUCGUUAAAGACUUCGGGAUAGUUUUGGACCUUAAGGCCCAAUGGGCUUCGAACGUCAAGCCCAUUAACUUAAGUUGUAUGACAAUUUAAUGAAUAAAGAUUCAUUAAAGCCCAAAAGCCCAUAAAUCCCUAAAUGGCCGGCCAUAUGUGUAUGAAUUAGGGUUUUGGUUGUUUAGGUCACUUAAAGAAGUGACUA